GACGAACGCUGGCGGCGUGCCUAAUACAUGCAAGUAGAACGCUGAAGGAGGAGCUUGCUCUUCUGGAUGAGUUGCGAACGGGUGAGUAACGCGUAGGUAACCUGCCUGGUAGCGGGGGAUAACUAUUGGAAACGAUAGCUAAUACCGCAUAACAGUAGAUGUUGCAUGACAUUUGCUUAAAAGGUGCAAUUGCACCACUACCAGAUGGACCUGCGUUGUAUUAGCUAGUUGGUGGGGUAACGGCUCACCAAGGCGACGAUACAUAGCCGACCUGAGAGGGGGAUCGGCCACACUGGGACUGAGACACGGCCCAGACUCCUACGGGAGGCAGCAGUAGGGAAUCUUCGGCAAUGGACGGAAGUCUGACCGAGCAACGCCGCGUGAGUGAAGAAGGUGUUCGGAUCGUAAAGCUCUGUUGUAAGAGAAGAACGAGUGUGAGAGUGGAAAGUUCACACUGUGACGGUAUCUUACCAGAAAGGGACGGCUAACUACGUG
rnacentral:rRNA from 1 species